GCGAGCUCGAAAAACUGCACUUUUCCCACCCCGGGGGGGAAAAGAAGAACGGUUGCAUUGCUGUUUAAAAAAAAAACUGUUUAAAGAGGCAAAUUCAUACGAUUCAACUUCGCAUACUGACAAAACACUGCCUUGUGGGCAAAUCAUCAUAUCGUCAAAAUAAUAAAAUGGGGAUAAUAAGAAAAAAAUUAAUGAUAUAAGUCAUUAUAUAGUACUUAGCAAUGAGUUGAAUGAACAUUUAAAAGGCGCUGACAAAAUCGUUUCGACCGCUAAAGAAUACCAAACGGCUGCGAAUUUUAAAACACAUGUAGUUGUGCAUAGUGCAAAAUAAAUGUUCGUGACCAAUAAUUAUAUCCGAUCAAUUUAAAUAACGACCAAUCUCGUUAAUUUAGGGCGCCUUAAAAAAAUUGGUGUUUUUU